ACGGAGGGUGCAAGCGUUAACCGGAAUUACUGGGCGUAAAGCGCACGCAGGCGGAUUAUUAAGUCAGAGGUGAAAUCCUACGGCUCAACCUGGGAACUGCCUCUGAUACUGGCAAGCUUGAGUAUCGUAGAGGGGGGUAGAAUUCCAGGUGUAGCGGUGAAAUGCGUAGAGAUCUGGAGGAAUACCGGUGGCGAAGGCGGCCCCCUGGACGAAGACUGACGCUCAGGUGCGAAAGCGUGGGGAGCAAACAG
rnacentral:rRNA from 1 species